UUCCCACCGCCCCCUCCCUCCCACUAUGUGGUUCCUUCUCAAUUUCUCAAACAGAUAGAAGACUUUGAGGGAUCGAGAACUUUUGGUGCUUAGCAUGAUGUUUCAAGUAUUCAUGAAAUAUUUCGGGAAUGGAACUGAUAGUUACUGAAAAGAGAUGUCAGCGGAAGGGGAGUAAGCUGAAGUCAAAGGACCAAGGCUCUAAUUCUACCCCUGCCAAAACCCAAGGUACCCUAGGAAUCAAUCUUGGUCUGAGAGACUGCAUAUUAACAGGAGGCCAGGAAGGCAAGAACAGGGGUGUGCCAUCAUCUAGUCACCUCUGGAGCAGAGCUUUGCAAAGAGCAUUCCUCAGGAAGAUUCCUCAGAGGUCCUCUACAAUUCUCCAAAACCAGCAUAAUGUAGUUAGUAAGAAUAUGGAUUCCUG
rnacentral:lncRNA from 10 species